ensembl:lncRNA
UUAGUUUGCCAGCAUAAGUUGCCACAGCUUGAUCUAGGACUAUGUUAAAUUUACUUUAUGGAAAUAAAUCAUUUGACAAUGAGCCAGACUAACUGAAAUAAGCCUGUCUUAUUUGGUUAACUUGUUUUAUGAAAUGGGCCUCGAGGUAUUAGAAGUGAUCAUAUUUUUUUCAUUGCAUCGAAUCUCAUUGUGUUGAAUCAAAUCGAACCGAAAUCGGAUCAAACUGCAUCGUAACAGGGAUGAAUCAUAUCGCAUCGGUAGCUGCAUCAUAUGUAUCUUCUACGGGGCCAUAACGUAAGAUACAAGGUAUGAGGCCUUUUAUACAUUUUCGUGUUUUUUUAGAAAUAAUGAAUGGACAGAUGGAGUCUUUAAACGCCUCAGAUGUAAAGUUAUUCGCUGUCAAAGUGACGCCAAAAUGAAUGGGAGUCAAUGGAAUGCUAACAGCAGGUGGGGGUCCACUAGCCAAUGGCGGCGCCCAGGGAUGCUUCAAUAAAAUAUGAAACCCUGCCCCCCGGUCAAACGUCAUGCAUGCAUUCAUUCUCUGCCAGCAGGAGGCGGUGUUUGAGCGGAAGAUAUAGCGGUUUCCCCGGUAACGGCUGUAAUCAAUCAGGCAUUAAAGGGAUAGUUCACCCAAAAAUGAAAAUUACCCCAUGAUUUACUCACCCUCAGGCCAUCCUAGAUGUAUAUGACUUUCUUCUUUCAGACGAAUACAAUCAGCGUUUUACUAAAUAAUGUCCAGGCUAAUCCAUGGUUUAUUAUGGCCCACUGUCCCACUGUUUCAGUAACAAGAGAGAAUCACACAAACAAGUCCAAGAUCUACUGCAGAAGAUUGAAGGAAUGAUGACGGAGAACGGAGGGACAUUUAUGAUGAAACAAAUGAAGAGGAGCAACAGCAUGGUCAGCAUUGUCAAUUUUUCUGGAGAGAAUCCGGCUGAAGAUCCAGAGAUUGAUGUGAAGAAAGACCAAAGAACCGGAUCUAGAAAGACUGGCACAAUGAUCACUAUUAUGUUAAAAAGUGACGUAUCUGGAACAGGAAAACACUUUCAGGAGAUUCAUAAGACAUAUAUAAGCAAUAUGCAUCAGAAGAAACAGGAG